AUUGGACCGGGUAUUCUAAGUCACUGCCCUCUUUUUAUAUUCCUGUUUAUCACAGACUUCCUUCCCACCAGGGAAGAUGGAUAGGAAAAAAGCUGGUCCAGGGAAAAGGAGGCUGUAUACAUGAGUCUAGUAAUAUUCUGACAGUGUUAAGAAGUCAGACCUUCCUCACCUCUACCCACAGGCUCACCUGAGAGUCAGAUUAUAAUUCCCAGCCUCCUUCGCAAUGAAUGUGGUCAUGUGUUUGAGUUCUAGCCAACGAAAUGUGAGCUCAGGAGACUUGCCCAAUACUCAGGCCUCCCACACAUUCUUCUUGACCUUCUGCAUCAACCUUGGAGAUGGUAGCUGUUGAUACAAGAUGGAAAGAUCCUGGGUUUCUGCAUUUUCGCUGAGAGAGCAGAGCUUGCUAAUCAUAAAUGCCUAUUUUGGAUUAAUAUGAUUCAGAAAUAAGCUAAUAUUCUCUUAUGCCCUGAGAUUUUGUGGUUUAUCUGCUGUGUUGCAGCUGGGUGACUUAUUUAGUUCAGAAAUUGGUAUCCAGUAUCUUGGAGUGAGGUGAUGCUGUAACAAAAACCUAAAAUAUAUGUCCUUGGCUUA